GGCCUCGUGGCCCAAUGGCAAGGCGUCUGACUACGAUGAAUAAGUGUAAUCAGGAGAUUCUGGGUUCGACCCCCAGCGAGGUCA
rnacentral:tRNA from 1 species